AAAAAAAACUCUCCAAAAGCAAUGCCAGCAAGGAAACAUCAACACAAAGCAGCUCAUAGGGUUGCCCUUACCUCUCCAAAAGCGAUAACGAUGAGGAAACACCAAAACAAUAGGUGAAUCUUUACCCAAACAACCCAUAUGGCUGCAAUACAGUAGCUGUCCAAACUUCAACAAACCUUCAAAGGGAGUUUCAAAAUGGGGCAGUAGCUUACAGGGCUUGAAUCCCUUCUUCAAGAUGACCCAAAACUCUAGAAACUGUCUGAGAGACACCAGCUAGCCUCAAUAACUAACAGAGCCCCAAAGUGAGCACUAAUAAAAUUCAAAAGCAAAACACAAACAGACUUGGGAAUACACCCUCAAAAUUACUCCAAAUACACACUAGAACCUUCAAAGGAUUACCGACAGAAGCUCACCUACACAAACGAGGAUCAACAAUUUCCUUAGAAGUUGCAGCAAUAGGAAACAAAAUACUGACCUCAAUCAAUAAACAAGCAUCACUAAGACAGAGGCAAUGAUACCCAAAACAGCGCACAGGACUACAACACCCACUCCAACACCAACGCCAGUACCAAAACAACACAACAAAAACAAGUACCUGAAAACAAAAGUGUACCAAUUCUCAAAGUACCAACAAAAGUGUAACCAACCAAAAUAGAACUUAAAUAGAGAGCUAGAAAGUCCCGAGGGAGAACCUGUGUUGGACCAGAAAAUUCCAAAACUAGAAAUUGGGCAAUGCACCAAUAGAACCCAAAAAAGAAAAAAUUAUGAGGCUUAUCCAAGUCCCACAAACAGAAAAUUGGAAAUACCACCACUGAACUGAUUAAUCUAUACUGUAGCAGGACAGUGCACCAAAUCAACCAGCAACUUAUGGGACUGCUGCACAAACUCCGAGGCAACGUUGGGAAGAGAAACCGGAGGGCAGGAGCUUGCCGCACGUACUUUCAAUUGCCGGGAUGUGAAAUAAGGCAGAAAAACAAAAGUGGCGCGUGGGGGCCAUUCGUUGGAGGUCUAAUGACGGGAUCUUGAUGGCUGGCCGGUUGGUGGCCUAGACGUCCUUAGGGACAGGCGGUGAGACAAACAACUAACCCUAGGUAGGUGAUCUGAAAAAACCAGUAGGUUUGAACCCAAAAAAUUGACAAGAAGGAAGACAUGAAGCGGGGCAGAGACUUAGAAGGGCAGUAUGUGGGUGACAGAAAGCGGGGGACAAAAUUCAAAAAUAAAAUUUCCAAAAUUUUAUGUAUGUUGUGAUACCAUGUUUAGAUUUAAGAAUAAUAAGAAGAAAAAGAAAGGAAGGAAAGAAAAGGAAGAGAAGAGAGAGAACCCAAAGGGCUACAUCUUUUAUUCUUAUUAAUUUCAAAGCAAAUUACAUAGAUAUAUAUGUACAAAAUUCUUUCCUAUAAUUGUGCUAUACUAUACUGACUAGAAAAUCUUUACUAAUUAGGAAUAUAAAUCUUACUAUAGUUACUCUACUAAUUAGGAAUAUAGAUCCUACGCUAAAUAGAAAUACAACUAAAUAUAAAUAUUAACUUUCCAUAACAAUCUGAUAUUAUAAAAUUGUUGAAGGUUUGAAUUGUAAUGUUUUAGUUGUCAGGACUUUAAUUGAAAUUGAUCCUUUACU
rnacentral:misc_RNA from 1 species